CCUACGGGCGGCAGCAGUGAGGAAUAUUGGUCAAUGGACGUAAGUCUGAACCAGCCAAGUCGCGUGAGGGAUGAAGGUCCUAUGGAUCGUAAACCUCUUUUAUAAGGGAAUAAAGUGCGGGACGUGUCCCGUUUUGUAUGUACCUUAUGAAUAAGGAUCGGCUAACUCCGUGCCAGCAGCCGCGGUAAUACGGAGGAUCCGAGCGUUAUCCGGAUUUAUUGGGUUUAAAGGGGGCGUAGGCGGGUUAUUAAGUCAGCGGUGAAAGUUUGUGGCUCAACCAUAGAAUUGCCGUUGAAACUGGGAGGCUUGAGUAUGUUUGAGGCAGGCGGAAUGCGUGGUGUAGCGGUGAAAUGCUUAGAUAUCACGCAGAACCCCGAUUGCGAAGGCAGCCUACCAAGCCAUGACUGACGCUGAUGCACGAAAGCGUGGGGAUCAAACAGGAUUAGAUACCCCUGUAGUC
rnacentral:rRNA from 1 species